rnacentral:rRNA from 1 species
GACGAGGGAUCCUAGCGUUGUUCGGAAUCAUUGGGCGUAAAGCGGGUGUAGGCGGCUUUAUAAGUCAGGUGUGAAAGCCCGGGGCUCAACCCCGGAAGUGCACUUGAUACUGUUUAGCUUGAGUGUGGUAGAGGCUACUGGAAUUUCUGGUGUAGUGGUGAAAUACGUAGAUAUCAGAAGGAAUACCGGAGGCGAAGGCGGGUAGCUGGGCCAACACUGACGCUGAGACCCGAAAGCGUGGGGAUCAAACAGG